AUACGUAGGGUGCGAGCGUUGUCCGGAUUUAUUGGGCGUAAAGGGCUCGUAGGUGGUUGAUCGCGUCGGAAGUGUAAUCUUGGGGCUUAACCCUGAGCGUGCUUUCGAUACGGGUUGACUUGAGGAAGGUAGGGGAGAAUGGAAUUCCUGGUGGAGCGGUGGAAUGCGCAGAUAUCAGGAGGAACACCAGUGGCGAAGGCGGUUCUCUGGGCCUUUCCUGACGCUGAGGAGCGAAAGCGUGGGGAGCGAACAGGCUUAGAUACCCUGGUAGUCCACGCUGUAAACGGUGGGUACUAGGUGUGGGGUCCAUUCCACGGGUUCCGUGCCGUAGCUAACGCUUUAAGUACCCCGCCUGGGGAGUACGGCCGCAAGGCUAAAACUCAAAUGAAUUGACGGGG
rnacentral:rRNA from 1 species